rnacentral:lncRNA from 15 species
AGGCAGUCUUGUUGGUGUGGAUAUUGAUGCUCAGCCACAGUCACUAAUAUCUGAACCUCUUUAAAGGGCAACCGGGGAUCAGAUGGACGAAACGGCAAACCAGGACCCAGAGGGAACAAGGGUCGGACUGGAGAGAGGGGCCACGCUGGCCAACCUGGCCCUUCGGGUUUGCCGGGGCCACCUGGACCAGAGGGAGCAGAAGGAAAGCCUGGUACACAGGUUCCCAUUCUCUAUCAUAUUUCAAUUCCAUCACCUGUAAAUGCUUAAUGUGUCUGUGUGUCCCCUACUUCCUGCAUUUAUUAUUUUGUGAUUUAUUUUGAUUUUAUUUUAUUAUUUUACUGUGUGGAUAUCACACACAUCUCAUUACCCGUCUUGGUUUUAGUCCAGAUUUUGUGUCUUUUAUUGUGUAAAACUAGUGCUGAAUGUGUAUCUGCAUAGGAUCACACCCUUCACUUCAUUUAAGGAAAAAUGUUCCUCUCAAUACAUCUUAUGGCUGUUGGUUUAAAGGAGAGACAUACUGACAGGUCACUCAUACAGUGUGUAGUAAUUGUUGGUUCAGACAGCAGGAGGCAGUCUUUGUACGUUACAGGAGUACUAUGAGGAGCUGUGGUGUAGAGUUCAUGCUUGGUCUUUCUUAUUCUAUUGAAAGACAGCACUUAACUUGACUGAGAGAUUUAUUCUAAUAGAGGGAUGCAUUACAAAAAGUUAACAUCUUCAUAAUCAGCAAUUAGUAGUAACUAACUCCAACUAACUUAGUGACUGAUUUGCCGAUUGAUAGUAAUUUCAAUAAUCAGUGGAUAAUUUAAUUCAUUUACGAGGAAAAAUGCUAAACAUUCUCUUGUUCUAGCUUCUCAAAUGUGAGGACGUGUGCUACUUUUCUUUGUUUGAAAUCAUUUUGUAUUGUUCGUUAGACAAAACAAGCACUUUGAAGAUGUCUCCUUGGCCUCUGGGAACUUGUAAUGGGCAAUUUUCUGUCAUUAAUCAUCUAAUUAUAAAAAUAAUCAACAGAUUACUCAAGAAUGGAGAUGAUCAUUAUUUGCAGCCCUAAACUUGGGUGACUCCAUCUUAAAAUGCAGCAGUUUCACUUGUGUCAAGACAUUGUCUUUAUUUUAAAUAAAUGUACAGAAACAAAUAAAAAAUAGUUUUGAAUGAAAUUGAUUAAAGAAGUUAUUUGACACUUUGGGUAAUAUGCUUUAUUUUUUAUAAGAUUGAUGCCACUUUUUAAUCAGUGCAGUAAGUAUGAAAGUACAGCCAGGGGACAGUUAACUUAGUUUAGCCUAAAGACUGGAACAGGGGGAAACAGCUAGCUGGUUAUGUCCAGAGGUAACAAGAUAUGCCUGAAUGCUGCAAAGUGGAUGUGAGAAAAGGGCAGCAGAGCAUUAACAUAAUACUACUGGCCAGAUUAACAGUGUGAUAACCACAACUGGAAAUUAUUGUUUACAGUAUAUUUACUAUUUACCAUGACCACAUUAUUUUCCCAACCUUAAUCAUGUGAUUUUUGUUUAUAUAACAUAACUAAAAUGCAACCAUUUUUAAACAUGUACAAACGUUGUUCACAUGAGAGAUCAUCUUGUGGCUGUGGCUUCAUAUUUAAUGAGCAGAUAUAAAAGUGACAUCACUGUUCUCAUCUAACUCUCAGCAAGAAGGCAAAUUAACCAAAAUGUUGAACUAUAACUUUAAGAUUAAAUGACUUGAAAAUUUAAUUCAUUAAAGUCAUUAU